rnacentral:rRNA from 1 species
GACGAACCGUGCGAACGUUGUUCGGAUUCACUGGGCUUAAAGGGCGCGUAGGCGGCUUGCCAAGUCAGGGGUGAAAUCUUUCGGCUCAACCGGAAAAGUGCUUCUGAUACUGGCAGGCUGGAGGGAGGUAGGGGCAGAUGGAACUUCCGGUGGAGCGGUGAAAUGCGCAGAUAUCGGGAAGAACACCGAUGGCGAAAGCACUCUGCUGGGCCGAAACUGACACUGAGAGACGAAAGCUAGGGGAGCGAAUGGG